rnacentral:rRNA from 1 species
AUCCAUGGGCAGGUUGAAGGUUGAGUAACAUCAACUGGAGGACCGAACCCACGCAUGUUGAAAAAUGCGGGGAUGACCUGUGGAUAGGAGUGAAAGGCUAAACAAGCUCGGAGAUAGCUGGUUCUCCCCGAAAACUAUUUAGGUAGUGCCUCGAGCAAGACACUGAUGGGGGUAAAGCACUGUUAUGGCUAGGGGGUUAUUGCAACUUACCAACCCAUGGCAAACUAAGAAUACCAUCAAGUGGUUCCUCGGGAGACAGACAGCGGGUGCUAACGUCCGUUGUCAAGAGGGAAACAACCCAGACCGCCAGCUAAGGUCCCAAAGUCUAUAUUAAGUGGGAAACGAAGUGGGAAGGCUUAGACAGCUAGGAUGUUGGCUUAGAAGCAGCCAUCAUUUAAAGAAAGCGUAAUAGCUCACUAGUCGAGUCGGCCUGCGCGGAAGAUGUAACGGGGCUCAAAUAUAGCACCGAAGCUGCGGCAUCAGACGUAAGUCUGUUGGGUAGGGGAGCGUUGUGUAAGCGGAUGAAGAUGGUUCGAGAGGGCUGUUGGACGUAUCACAAGUGCGAAUGCUGACAUAAGUAACGAUAAAACGGGUGAAAAACCCGUUCGCCGGAAGACCAAGGGUUCCUGUCCAACGUUAAUCGGGGCAGGGUGAGUCGGCCCCUAAGGCGAGGCUGAAAAGCGUAGUCGAUGGGAAACGGGUUAAUAUUCCCGUACUUGGUAAAGCUGCGAUGUGGGGACGGAGCAGGUUAGGUUAGCGUACUGUUGGAUAUGUACGUUUAAGUUGGUAGGUGGGAAGUUUAGGCAAAUCCGGACUUCCUUAACACUGAGAGAUGAUGACGAGGCUCUACGGAGCUGAAGUAACUGAUACCACACUUCCAGGAAAAGCCACUAAGCGAAAGGCUUUACUAAACCGUACUGAAAACCGACACAGGUGGUCAGGUAGAGAAUACUCAGGCGCUUGAGAGAACUCGGGUGAAGGAACUAGGCAAAAUAGCACCGUAACUUCGGGAGAAGGUGCGCCGGCGUAGAUUGUAAGGGCUUGCCCCUGAAGGUUGAACCGGUCGAAGAUACCAGCUGGCUGCAACUGUUUAUUAAAAACACAGCACUCUGCAAACACGAAAGUGGACGUAUAGGGUGUGAUGCCUGCCCGGUGCUGGAAGGUUAAUUGAUGGUGUAAUCGAAAGAGAAGCUCCUGAUCGAAGCCCCAGUAAACGGCGGCCGUAACUAUAACGGUCCUAAGGUAGCGAAAUUCCUUGUCGGGUAAG